ACGAACGCUGGCGGCAUGCCUAACACAUGCAAGUCGAACGAGACCUUCGGGUCUAGUGUCGCACGGGUGCGUAACGCGUGGGAAUCUGCCCCUCGGUUCGGAAUAACAGUUAGAAAUGACUGCUAAUACCGGAUGAUGACGAAAGUCCAAAGAUUUAUCGCCGAGGGAUGAGCCCGCGUAGGAUUAGCUAGUUGGUGGGGUAAUGGCCCACCAAGGCGACGAUCCUUAGCUGGUCUGAGAGGAUGAUCAGCCACACUGGGACUGAGACACGGCCCAGACUCCUACGGGAGGCAGCAGUGGGGAAUAUUGGACAAUGGGGGCAACCCUGAUCCAGCCAUGCCGCGUGAGUGAUGAAGGCCUUCGGGUUGUAAAGCUCUUUAGCCGAUGAUUAUAAUGACUGUAGUCGGAAAAUAAGCCCCGGCUAACUUCGU
rnacentral:rRNA from 1 species